AUGGUCAUGAGUGUUAUCCCAUUACACUUAUUGUCUGAAAUUGUGUACCGAGAAGAGAAGGUUUCAAUAUUUCACACUUAAUUCCUUGAUGUAUAUAUAGCAUUAUUUCAUCGAUAUAACUUUUCAAACGUAUCAAUUCAUGAUCAACUUCAUAUAACUAGGAGCUUAAAUUUUUAAAAUUUUCCAUAACCCCACGAAAAAAUUCUUAGGUCUGCCGCUGAUAUGGUCUGAGUGUUAUCAAAUUACACUUAUUGCUUGUCGAUUACUAUCUUAUCACCCACCUAGAAUAUUAAUUGUGAGAGUUAUGUGAAGGAAUUGUGUACCGACAAGAGAAGGUUUCAACAUUUCACACUUAAUUCCUUGAUGUAUCUUUGUAUUUUCGUGAAGCUCAUUUUUAAGUUUAUAUAUAGCAUUAUUUCAUCGAUAUAAGUUUCCAAAAGUAUCAAUUCAUGAUCAACUUCAUAAGAAACUUAAACCGUAUUAGGGUGAAGGGAGUGGUUACCUAUUCCAAAUAGGUAAACUCCCCAUUCACCUAAUCAAAAAGUAUCAUAUCGAUUCACCUAAUUUGUUUACCUAAUGCUUAAAAACGUUGACGGUGGUUUACCUAAUAGGGUUUAGGUAAACUAUUUAAAAAAAAAAUGUAUGAUUGGUUGAGAAGGAAUGAACCCCACCACACACCCAUCUCUCUCCCCUUUCCCUCCCCCUCACCGAGUCGGUAAAGGUUCACCGAGAUUGGCCUUCACGAUCGGUAAACCAAAGGUUGGCAGUGGCUUCCCCGAUCGGUAAGGUGUUUACCGAAUCCUUUACCUCUUCCACUCUGUUCACCCUUAGUAUACGUACUAUGAGACAUGAGUUUGUCUCGUUACAUACUGAGAGAAGCUAUGGCUUUGGUUAAAACACUACAAAGUUUAUAUAUAGUCAUGUUAUACAAUUUACAUCAAUAUCAAUAUAGUGAAAGGUUCAAAUGAGAAGAAAUUUUCUGUAAGAAGAAAAAAGAAUAAGUUUCAACCAAUAAAAAUGUUUCAUUUUACUUCAUUUAAUAUUUGCAUUUAAUUUUAAUGUAAGGGCAUGUUUGUAAACUUACAUAGAUCAUUAAUAUCUAGUCUUCCUUUUUAAUAACUAACUACAUUAAUUUUGUAACUUAUUUUCAAAAUAUAUAUUUUUUCAAAAAUAAAAAAAAAUUAUUUUAAAGUGUAUGACAAAUUACUAUGUGUGUAGGAUAAAUUACGAAUUGUGUAAGAUAAAUUUAAGUAUGUGUAGGAUAAUUUUCGAAAUGUGUAAAAUAACUUUUUAUGUGUGUAGACAAUGAAAAUUAGUGUAGAGAAUAAUAGUGUUUAUGAGUAAUUAAUUGCUUAAAGAUUGUAAUAAAUGAGAUGAAAGAAUAACUACUUAAUAUUUUACAAUUGUACCUUUUGUUCUUUUCCUUCUCAAUUAAAUUU
rnacentral:lncRNA from 1 species